rnacentral:antisense_RNA from 1 species
AUUCGUCGCCAACGAGAAAUUGGGGUCGGCCCGAAAGCUCUAGAAUGCACCCCUAUUCCUCCCCGGGGCCAUUCCCGCUCAACGAGUUUUAUGACCUAAAAAACCCCACAGGCUGGUCUGAAGAGGAAGACACUUAAAGAUGAAGUGCUUAAUUCAAGGUCACAGAAUGUCGGGGAUGGACCUCCAGAUUUCCUUACUGACCUGCAUUAUCUUGUGGAUACCUGAGUGAAUUCCACACCACCCAUUUUAUAGAUGAAGCCACUGAGACGUGGAGCAACUGACUGAGUAGUCACUGCCCCACCCCUGCCUGGAGCCUCACACAUGACUUCUCUUAGUGACCACAGGAAAACAAGCUCAGGGCUCCCACUGAUUGUACAUUAUGAGACAGAGUCUUCUUGCUAUGUUGCCCAGGCUGGUCUUGAACUCCUAACCUCAAGCGAUCCUCCCAUCUUGGCCUCCCAGGUGUCAGGAUUACAGGCAUGUGCUAUCACACCCAACCUGAUACAUUGCCUUUAUAAAUUUUUUUUUCUUUAUUCUAAAAAACAGAAAAAACAAAACUGGAUACAUGUGCAGAACAUGCAGGUUUGUUACAUAGCUGUACGUGUGCCAUGGUGGUUUGCUGCACCUAUUGACCUAUCCUGUAAGUUCCCUCCCCUCACCCCCACCCCCCAACAGCCCU